rnacentral:rRNA from 1 species
CAGUAGCCGCGGUAAUACGUAGGGUGCGAGCGUUAAUCGGAAUUACUGGGCGUAAAGCGUGCGCAGGCGGUUUAGUAAGUCUGAAGUUAAAGGCAUUGGCUCAACCAAUGUAUGCCUUGGAAACUGUUAGACUUGAGUGCAGAAGGGGAGAGUGGAAUUCCAUGUGUAGCGGUGAAAUGCGUAGAUAUAUGGAGGAACACCGGUGGCGAAAGCGGCUCUCUGGUCUGUCACUGACGCUGAGGCUCGAAAGCGUGGGUAGCGAACAGGAUUAGAUACCCCAGUAGUCCCUGUCUCUUAUACC